AGAACAAAAAUCUGUGGCUGAAGAUGAAAAACCAACCGACGGUUCAGCAGGUGAGCCAGUCAGACUUCCUCUAAUCAACCAGUUUACAGUUCAGAGGUUUUCCUCAGCUGGAUGAUCAGGAAGGAGAGCUGCACCAAGGCAGAGCUGCACAGGAAGUGGAUGCAGCGCUGAGCAGGAAGUGGAUGGCCCUUAGCCUGUUGCUCUGCCUGCUGCAGUCUGUCGCAGGCAUCCUGCCAGGAUUAUUUGGCAGCUGGAUGACAUGCAGAAGUUUUGGAAAUUCUACCUGAGCUGUGGAUCUCUGCAGCUCCUUCAGAGUCACUGUGGUCCUCUUGGCUACAGCUCUGAGUACAGGUGCAUAUAAAAAUGUAAUCUCACGUUUGUUAAAAGUGUCAUUAUGUCUUGACAGUAGAAUAUGAAACAGAUAAUGAAAAGGUCAAGCUCCUCCCUGUGGCUCUACUGAGACCUGCUCACAAAUAACCAAUCAGAGCCAGGAGGCGGGGCUUAGUGCUGCUAAUAAAGCUCAAGAUUACUGGUAAGCUGCAGCUGUGCUAAUGGCAGAGAUAUAAAGUUACAGCAAAACUGUCAGUGCCUCAUGUUGUCUGCAGGCUCUGGGCAACCAGCUGGAUUAUUUUAUUUAGGGGCGUCAUGGAAAAAGAAUUUGAAUAUAAGCUGCUGGUUUUAUAAGAUCUUUUAGAAACCAGGAAUGAUUUUUCAUCCACCUCACAUUUCUGCUUUACUUGUUGAUAAAAUAUUCAUAAAACAUAUUGAAGUUUGUAAAAUCUGAAAUAAUUUAAGGAGUAUGUAAACUUUUCACAGUAAAAUAAGAUUUAUGCUCUUUCUGCAAGUACAAAAUGUAAGAAAUGUCCCAUGAAAACAUGUUAGUGUCCUGCAGUGAGGACUCGCGUGUCAAAGAGCCUGUCGGGUCCUUUAACACGGAGAUGAACAGAAACAGAGAUGAAAUAAUGAGAUGGAAGUAUGUCAGGUCUUGUAUGGUGGUUAUCUGUGGCUUAUAGGCCAUAAUAGCUGACCUGGUCAUGCUGAGCUGCAUUAUGUUUGUCCUCUGGACACCAAAGAACAUUGAUGCCUCAAGACUGCAUCAAUGUUCGAUUUUCUUUACAAACUCUGUCAGGAUUUUAUUUCCAGAAAGGCAAACAUGUUCAGUCUCUCUAAAUUAUGAUUGAAUUUUCAUCAGUUCAGCAGGUCCCAAACUGGCUGUUAAAAAAGGACUUUAGUCAUACAAACGACAGCAUCACUAAAGCCAUUGAGUCUAAGAACUUCCCUCCUAACCCAUUAGCAUGAAUAUAUUUCCACCUCAGCAAUAAAACCUUGCAGAUUCCAUUCCAUAAAAUCCUAAAUUUCCAUCUGUCCCAAACUGCUUCAUAAACCUGAGUGAACCUCCAAGCCCAGCAGAUUAACGACGGCUAGCGUCAGAGCGCCGCUCUUCAGUCUGGCUGUAAACAACGCCUCACUGUAACCUGGAGCAGCUCUGUCACUUUUUAUCACCCCCAAAAUUCAGCUGAACACUUUGACUGUUAUCCCUGCUGGAGGAAUCGUUAAAGUUACAAGCAUUGUCUGAUUUUUAAUGCUUCAGGUUUUAUUUAGUAAAAGCCACCAUUGAAAUGCUUAAAUGUCUCUUUUCUACCGAAGCAGACUGCAUUCAGUUAAACUCGUGUCUUAUUCUGCUGCAGACACAACUCAGUCAGACUCAACAUGAACCAUUAAUGAGCUGAAAUCAGCAUGUUAAUAAGAAUUUAUGAACUUGACUUUAAUGAUGGUUUGGAUUGAACUGAUACAUUGAAACCUGUAAGAAUGAUAAAUACAAACUAAUAUAUAUCAAGAGGAUUUAAUGUAUAAAAUAAUAAAGACAGAGAAAAGCUAUUUUCCUCCUCAUUUCCAUCCUUGACAGUUGGUUCAUCCUGCUGCAGCAUCUUCACAUCAACUGAUGCUUCGAUAGAAGAACCACUGCAGACGAAAACCUGCACGGUCAAUUCAAAUGUCUGAUUGAAUUUAAAAGAUUUUACAUAAGGAGUUUUGAGACGGUAUUUGUUUGAGUAGAGCAGAGCAGAGGCCUCCAAAUGUCCUGAAAUCUUUAGAUGUGUUCCUGCUCCAACACGCCUCAUCAAUUCAGUUCAUUUCAGUUUGGUUACGCAGCGCCAAUCCCCCCAACAAGCAGCUCCUCCGUCUGCAGUCGGUCUGCAGACUCGGGUGUCUGCAGCAAACAUGCAACUGACAGCAACAUGUAGAGAGAUGAGGCAGAAACAAACAAACCUUUGCUGCUCACUUUGUGAUCCGAUCCGUCUGUCUUCAGAUGUCACUGAUCUAAAGUUUAACUUUGCACCUCUCUCUCCUGAAAGACUGAAGAAUAAAAAUAAGAGAAGAAACCCAGAAAUGAUUUUGAUGUGCAGUUUGUAAUGGAGGUUCGGUGCCUCCAUCAGCAGAGCUUCAUGUAAAUCUGUUGAUCGGGAGUUUUUAAUGGGAUUUUGCAAUAAAAUUAUUUGAUGUUGAGUCUUCCUUUUAUGUUUUCUGAACAGCAGAGCCCUGAUAAUAUUUAAGUUUUUUCACUAAUUUGCUAAUUUGAUUGGUGGACAUCAGCGUUGUCUUUACAGAGAAAUAAAACAGCAGAAUAUUAGUUAAAUAUUUUGUACAGACUGUUAUGAAACUGGACUGUUAAAAACUAAAGAAAGUUGUACAUUUCAUGCACAACUUGAAAUAAAGAUCAGAGUUUUUC